rnacentral:rRNA from 1 species
GAUGAACGCUGGCGGCGUGCUUAACACAUGCAAGUCGAACGAUGAAGCCCAGCUUGCUGGGUGGAUUAGUGGCGAACGGGUGAGUAACACGUGAGUAACCUGCCCUUAACUCUGGGAUAAGCCUGGGAAACUGGGUCUAAUACCGGAUAGGAGCGCCUACCGCAUGGUGGGUGUUGGAAAGAUUUAUCGGUUUUGGAUGGACUCGCGGCCUAUCAGCUUGUUGGUGAGGUAAUGGCUAACCAAGGCGACGACGGGUAGCCGGCCUGAGAGGGUGACCGGCCACACUGGGACUGAGACACGGCCCAGACUCCUACGGGAGGCAGCAGUAGGGAAUAUUGCACAAUGGGGGCAAGCCUGAUGCAGCGACGCCGCGUGAGGGAUGACGGCCUUCGGGUUGUAAACCUCUUUCGGUAGGGAAGAAGCGAAAGUGACGGUACCUGCAGAAGAAGCACCGGCUAACUACGUG